rnacentral:misc_RNA from 1 species
GAUGAAGAACGCAGCGAAAUGCGAUAAGUAAUGUGAAUUGCAGAAUUCAGUGAAUCAUCGAAUCUUUGAACGCACAUUGCGCCCUCUGGUAUUCCGGGGGGCAUGCCUGUUCGAGCGUCAUUAUAACCACUCAAGCUCUCGCUUGGUAUUGGGGUUCGCGGUUUCGCGGCCCCUAAAAUCAGUGGCGGUGCCUGUCGUCUCUACGCGUAGUAAUACUUCUCGCGAUUGAGUUCGAUAGGUCUACUUGCCAGUAACCCCCAAUUUUUACAGGUUGACCUCGGAUCAGGUAGGGAUACCCGCUGAACUUAAGCAUAUCAAUAAGCGGAGGA